UACAGAGGAUGCAAGCGUUAUCCGGAAUGAUUGGCGUAAAGCGUCUGUAGGUGGCUUUUUAAGUCCGCCGUCAAAUCCCAGGGCUCAACUCUGGACAGGCGGUGGAAACUACCAAGCUGGAGUACGGUAGGGGCAGAGGGAAUUUCCGGUGGAGCGGUGAAAUGCGUAGAUAUCAAGAGGAACACCUGCGGCGAAGGCGGGUUGCUGGGCCGACACUGACGCUGAUGCGCGAAGCUAGGGGAGCGAACGGG
rnacentral:rRNA from 1 species